rnacentral:lncRNA from 1 species
UGUGGAUGACAUUUGUACUAACUCUUCAAAAAUUUUAUUCCCCCCCACCCACCCCAACUUAAUUUACUAUGCAGAGGGCAACAAAGUAUGAAAUGUUGUAUUUUAAGAUCAUAAGCAUUUCCACAUUGAGACAUGCUUCUACUUUGAAAUAAAUUUCUCGGUAAUUCUGAGUAUAUAAAAGUGUCAAGAUUUUUUCUAAGAGGAGUCUUGGAAAGAGAACAGAAGCAUUUUGGAGGUUGCAUCUUGAGAAUUCUGCAGCCAACGUUUUAUUCAUGUACUUGGUGCAGCCCAGCUAUUGUUCGUGGCUUGAAAACAUUUGAGUCAACGUGGUUAAUACUUGUCUCCACUCCACUCCCCUUGCAUCGGGCUGUGUCUACCUCUCAUCUUGAGGUGAGCAUGAAAAAUGAAUUUGAACAUUAGUGGAAUCCAUUUGGGGACUGGGGCUUUUAUUGUAAAUAAAAUUAUUCAUUUGUUACGUCCUGUAGUUUUCAGCAGACAAUGUAUUGAUCUUUGAAUUGCUAUUCAGCAUGGCAUAUGGGGCUCUGACAUAAGGGGAACAUGGC